rnacentral:rRNA from 1 species
GAUGAACGCUGGCGGCGUGCCUAAUACAUGCAAGUCGAGCGAACAGACGAGGAGCUUGCUCCUCUGACGUUAGCGGCGGACGGGUGAGUAACACGUGGAUAACCUACCUAUAAGACUGGGAUAACUUCGGGAAACCGGAGCUAAUACCGGAUAAUAUAUUGAACCGCAUGGUUCAAUAGUGAAAGACGGUUUUGCUGUCACUUAUAGAUGGAUCCGCGCCGCAUUAGCUAGUUGGUAAGGUAACGGCUUACCAAGGCAACGAUGCGUAGCCGACCUGAGAGGGUGAUCGGCCACACGGGAACUGAGACACGGUCCAGACUCCUACGGGAGGCAGCAGUAGGGAAUCUUGCGCAAUGGGCGAAAGCCUGACGGAGCAACGCCGCGUGAGUGAUGAAGGUCUUCGGAUCGUAAAACUCUGUUAUUAGGGAAGAACAAAUGUGUAAGUAACUAUGCACGUCUUGACGGUACCUAAUCAGAAAGCCACGGCUAACUACGUG